UACGGAGGGUGCGAGCGUUAUCCGGAAUUACUGGGUUUAAAGGGUGCGUAGGCGGCUAAGUAAGUCAGGAGUGAAAGUUUGCGGCUCAACCGUAAAAUUGCUUUUGAUACUGCAUAGCUAGAGUACGGAAGAGGAAGGCGGAAUUCCCGGUGUAGCGGUGAAAUGCGUAGAUAUCGGGAGGAACAUCAGUGGCGAAGGCGGCCUUCUGGUCCAGUACUGACACUCAAGUGCGAAAGCGUGGGGAGCAAACAGG
rnacentral:rRNA from 1 species